rnacentral:tRNA from 1 species
ACUUUUCUAGUAUUAAUCUUAGUACAGUUGACUUCCAAUCAACUAGUUCCGGUAAAACCCGAGAAGAGUA